rnacentral:lncRNA from 1 species
CUUUGCUGACUGUAUUGAAAAAACCCUCACCUUACUCUGAAAGAAGCAUGGCAACAGUACAAUAUUGCCGAUGCUUUGGUAGUGAUAAAAGAGGUGAUGGGUGAUAUAAAAUCAGCCACUCUUAAGCUUGCUGGAAACUGUGGGAGGAUGUGUGAAUGAUGCAUAUUUCCCUAGAGCUAAUGAAGAAGUUAAAAAAAAUCUUAGUGUCUGCAAAACAGGAAGAAGUCUUUGCAGAGGAAAUUGAAUGCUGUCUGAUGCUACAAUUCAUAUGGAUCCUUUCCUGGAUUGAAGCCUGACUUUUAAAAACAGUUUCAAUAAAUUGCUUAUACCUAUGAAGAGAUGCAAAAGAACCUUCCAAAUAAAGCAAAGGACUUGAAGAAAGAGAAGGAAGACAUGAAGAAGAGGAUGUCAUUUAGGUGAAGGUGAUGGAUACAGAAUCUGAGUCUGAGGGGAGCCUGGUUGACAGACAGACAAAAAAAGAAAUUUUUUUUUUUCUGACAAAAAAAAAAAGGAAAUUUUGUUAACAAAAUCAAGAAUUUUAAAAAAAUGCUGUGAGAGCUGAUCUAUGCAUCUGGUUUGUGAGCCAGUAUUCUGUGAUGGCUGCAGUUUUGAGAGAUCCUAGUAGCUCUACACAUCUGUCUUCUGCUUUCCUAGAACCUGGGCACCCCAUGGAUGACUCACUGCUGGUUUUGGGUGUGUGUGUUUGUGAUUUAAAAUUACAUUCAGUCAACUCUAUAGCCCUAUGGGCUUUUUGAAUAACCAAGUGCUCAACAGUUCUGUAAUCUUUCAGGUUGCUGUGAUCAGUCCCCAAGGAGUCUACACUCUCAAAGAGAUUGGGAAAGGCCUGUGAGACAAUGGGAUUCUUUUUUCUAGAGGUGUAACUCUGCCUGUGUUUGCAUGCCACCUCCAGAACCACUAAAAUAUAAUUUCUCAGUGGGUGAUUGAGUAAGACUGGCAGCAAUUGCAAAAGCAGAUUCAUGCCAUGUGUCACUCUUCACAGUCAGGAACUUAUUUACCUCUUGGAACUUUCCAAAGGAACGAUGAUGGUGGCGGUAAUGUCACAUUAGUAUGGAGCCCUUAAAUUCAGCAGUGUUCAACCUGAGGGAAGACAGAGUAGGUCAAUUCUCUUGGCAGCAGCUGAGGGAAGGAGAGAGCAGGGAGCAGGGCUCAGAUAAGGUUUGUUUGGCAGGGUCCAAGCACUUCAUGGAAUGGAGACCUUUGGCUGUCAGAGAUCUGAGGAAGAUUUGUCAGGGCCUGCUACACUCUGAGGGCUUGCAGUUUGGAUGGUUGGGAACACUUCUUCCUUGCACUGAUGGUGCUCCUAUUUCUAUGACACAUGUACUAGUUCAGACACAAUUUAUUGUGUUCACCAAUUCUAUGCACAGCAAUCAGAGACUGAGAUUGAAAUCCAGUAUAAUAUUAAAGGUGAUCUGGGCCAGGCGCAGUGGCUCAUACUUGUAAUCCCAGCACUUUGGAACGCUGAGUUAGGGGGAUCACUUGAAGCCAGGAGUUUGAGACCAGCCUGGGCCAGAAAAUGAGACCCCAUCUCUAAAAAAAAUGUUU